rnacentral:rRNA from 1 species
CCUACGGGGGGCUGCAGCGGGGAAUAUUGCACAAUGGGCGCAAGCCUGAUGCAGCCAUGCCGCGUGUGUGAAGAAGGCCUUCGGGUUGUAAAGCACUUUCAGCGGGGAGGAAGGCGUUAAGGUUAAUAACCUUGGCGAUUGACGUUACCCGCAGAAGAAGCACCGGCUAACUCCGUGCCAGCAGCCGCGGUAAUACGGAGGGUGCAAGCGUUAAUCGGAAUUACUGGGCGUAAAGCGCACGCAGGCGGUCUGUCAAGUCGGAUGUGAAAUCCCCGGGCUCAACCUGGGAACUGCAUUCGAAACUGGCAGGCUAGAGUCUUGUAGAGGGGGGUAGAAUUCCAGGUGUAGCGGUGAAAUGCGUAGAGAUCUGGAGGAAUACCGGUGGCGAAGGCGGCCCCCUGGACAAAGACUGACGCUCAGGUGCGAAAGCGUGGGGAGCAAACAGGAUUAGAUACCCCUGUAGUC